AAGUAGACUUGCAAACCUUUUAUUUUCCAAUUGUUUUGCUUUUGCCUCGUCUUCUCCUUCACAGCAGCAGCGAGAAGAAUCCUCAGCUAGGGUUUCUGAACCUCUCCGAGCUCGAAACGAGCCCAGAAAAACCCAUGACUGGAAUCCCCCCCUACCAAUGAGCCUCGCCUCGCCUCCCUCUUACUUCGCAAAGGUUUGAAUUUUAGAGUGGUCGUGGUUGAUAGUUUUGUGGAGGAAAUAUUUUGAUUGCUGAAUUGUUGAGUGAACGAAAACCAUGUCUGGAAGAAAUCGUGGACCACCUCAUGCUGGACUACCUCCUCCCAUGCAUGAAGUGCCGUAUGGAAGAGGACAUGGGCCGAUGCCCCAUCCUGCAUUACUUGAGGAAAUGAGAGAAUCCCAGCAUGGAAUGGGUCCCAGAUCACUGCCCCCUCACCCUGCGAUAAUUGAGGAGCAUCUCGCGGCCCAGCUUCAAGAUAUUCAAGGUCUUCUAGUUGAUAACCAGAGGCUGGCUGCGACUCAUGUUGCCCUUAAGCAGGAAUUGGAAGCUGCCCAAUUUGAGUUGCAACGCAUGGCUUACCAUGUUGAUUCAAUGCGGUCAGACAAGGAUGUUCAAAUGAGAGAUUUGUAUGACAAGUCUGUGCGUUUGGAAAUGGAUCUUCGUGGUGUUGAGGCUAUGCGGGCUGAGCUUCUUCAGGUUCGCGCUGAUAUCAAGGAACUCACUGUUGCAAGGCAAGAGCUCUCUGGCCAGGCGCAAGCGAUGACCCAAGAUUUGGCUAGAAUUAAUGCUGACUUGCAACAGGCACCAAUAUUAAGAGCAGAAAUUGAAUCUAUGAAACAAGAACUGCAACGUGCUAGAGCUGCCAUUGAGUAUGAAAAGAAAGGGUAUGCAGAGAAUUAUGAGCAUGGUCAGGUAAUGGAGAAGAACUUGAUCUCAAUGGCUAGGGAGCUGGAGAAACUUCGUGCAGAAAUUGCUAAUACUGAGAAGAGGGCACGUGCUUCAGCUGCUGUUGGAAAUCCCAGUGGAGGUUACAAUGCAAAUUAUGGUAAUCCUGAAGCUGGAUAUGCAGGAAAUCCUUAUCCUGCCACCUAUGGCAUGAAUCCUGUACAGGGUGGUGCUGAAAAUUUUCCUCAGUAUCCUAUGCCUGGUUCUUGGGGUGCAUACGACAUGCAACGAGCUCAGGGACACCGAUAAGCUAGUUCAUCCGUGAUCCUGAGCUACAUUUCUGAUGGUAUCUUGGCUUCAGCGAAUAGAUAUUUAGGUUUGCAACCUUUUGGCCGUGUCAGUCAGCUGCGUCAUCAUGAACUGAAUUUUUUAUGUGAUGUCCUGAGGCGGUGAUUUCUCACAAGUCAAGUGUUGAGUGGCUUCACUUACUUGCACGGUUGCACCAUCUGAAUUGAACAGACGCGGAGGUGCUUUGAACUUUUAUGAUGGCCCUUUGGUGGCGGUCACAAUGUUAGAUGACCAUAAAUCACUCACAGUGCAUACCAGUUUCACAGCCAGCCGCUAGGCAAGAUCAAGUAUCUCUUGCCAAAUGCAAACAUUUUCACUGAAGUUGAACAAAGUUCAAAGAUAAAAAGCCAUUUAUUUGUAUCCAUUUAGGCCCUAAUGGUUUUUGGUUUUACUGCUCCUUGCCUGCAUAAACCAUGCAAAAAAUUAUUCCAGUGAAAAAUGUUAUACAA